UUUUCUGCUUCCUUUGGCACGUGUGCAGAUGCAGCCUGAAGUGUCUUGUGCAGAUGAUGAAGGCUGGGGGAUUUCCAGGUCAAGCCUUUAGGUCCUGGGCUGGUGGACAAGCAGAAAUACAAAUAUCAGGGUUACAGAUAGAUACAACCUUUUGUCUGAGCAUUUUUUCCAGGAAGUCAGGGUUACUGUGCUAACAUUUAAGAUGCUUCACCUCUGUAUUUAAAUAGAAGCCUUGUCUAAACACUUUUAAAAAUCUGUCCUCACAGGUGUUUAGCUUUAGUGAUGUCAGGACAGAGUCAGUGCUGUGGACACAAUUAGGAAGAUUUUCUUGGUUUUUCUUUUUAUUUGGGAGUAGGUUCUUGUCUUUGCAGCAUGCCCAGUGCUUUUGGGCAAUCACACCACAGAGAUUGCUUUUGAUUUCUAAAUUAGUAUUGAUUAGAAGUCAUCUUUUUGUUACUUGUAGUGAGUAACACAGAGGGAAACAUCUGCUAGAAGGGAAGAAAAGAGCUCUGACUUUCAGGAAGCCUCUUCCCUGUCACACUCACCUUGGACUACCUCAACAGUCAAUUUACAGGAGACUGAGGGUGAGAGAGCACUGUAGCAAAGGUGCUGUGGGUAGGUGGGACCUCCAAGGAUUUUCUCAUCAGUUUUAUCAUGGAGAGAGCAAGGAAAGGGGCAAAGAUGAAUCCUGAGAUCUUUUGAAGAGGCAGGUGCUACACUAUUACCAGAAAUCAGAAGAAGACAAGAGAAAUAGCUUCUGUGAGAUACCUUCAUGAUUAAAGGUGCUCAGCACACAGAGGUGCUCCCAUGGCAGCUGGCAUGUGUGGCUUCUGUGGUGGCAGUGCCACAACUGGCCACACACAGCUCAGUGGGAUGUGCUGGCUGAGUCCAGAGCAAUCUCUUAAGCUCAGAGAUACUUCUUGAGCUACAUGGAGAAGCUGAGGGAUGUGAACAGCCUCUGUCUCGAGACAGCCACUCAACUGUGAAAGAUUUCAUUUCCAUCUGGAGACUCGUGCCGAGAGAAAAGGAAGGUCAUCCCUUGCAAAUGGACAACAAAAGCACUUCAGGCAGCAAUUGCUGGUUUGCUACAAGUGUUAAAAGCCAGGACAAUGGAGCUGUGGCUGGUUAGGAAAAAGAAAACGUGGAACAAAAGAACAAUUUUAUCCUGGUUACAAGGAGGUUGCAAGAGAAGCCACUGUAAAUACACCUGGACUGAACUGAGCCAUGCUGUCUUCAAAGAAACAAGCUGUAUCUGGGAAGAAUAACAAAAGUUGCCUAACACCACAGAAAGCUGGGAGAGUGCAAUGUAUCCAUCUUCCUGCUGCUCUGGUGUACUUUCCUGGAAAGGAUGCACUUGCCCCUACCCUGUCCAGGUGAGGCUCAGCCUUGCAGGUCUCUGUGAGGGGACUCUGUGAUUUGUUGUGGAUCUAGAGCUGUGCAGUGGUGCUUGCACACGUUUUCCAGAUGUUUAUUGCCUGUGUGUUUAAGGCUGCAUUUGCUGUGGCGGUUCCUGAAGCUGUUCUAGGUACAUCUGAGGGGAUGAAGAGUUGAACAUUGAAAUGGCAGUUUGCAGUUCAUGAAAAUAGGCAAAGGGAAAGGACUUGGGAGAAUGGGCUGGUUUUCAACCUCAAUGUCCACCUCCACCUACCAGUGUGAGAUGGCCUAAACUGCUCAGUGAUCCCUCACAUCUCAUGGGAAUCUUGAUUAUGAAACACUGCCAGAGUGAUGCUCAGUGCACCCUCUGCUCACUUGCUAGGAUGAGGCAUCUUUUAGCAGCACUAGAACUGCCCAAAAUGCUGUGAGUCAACAUGCACCUACAUUUGGCACCACCAGGACCUGCUCCCAUGCAGAGUGGUUGUGUGGUGUUAAUGUGCAUUUCCAGUGCUCAGACUCUUUUUCCAUCCAUCUAUCAAAUUGAGCAUGACCAAGAAGGCAGAACUCAUUACAGCUGUUGUUGAGGUGGUAUAAACCUAGAACUGGAACUAAAGGACAUAAAAUUGCUUGAAUUUACUGCUUGUAAUUAUUUUGUAGUUAAACAGAUGCCUCCCACUAAAGGGUGAAUAACAAUUUCAUAAUACCAGUGUGAGCCACCUCAGGCUAAUUUUGUUUCCAGCCCAUGGUGAUGGGAAUAAGCAGCCAAGCCCUGCUUCCAUCUCUGGGCCACCCUGUAUAGAUACUCAGUGAAAACACACUGAAAAUGCUGUCUCCUUCCCCUGAGUGAGGAGGCUGUUAGAUCAAGUGCAGUAUUAUGAUAUCGGCCAUAAGCUGCCUCUGAGGUCACGGUUUCUCGACAGCCUUACUGAGCCAGAGGUUCUCUGUGCCUUAGGAGCAGCUUCAGACGUAAGCAGGCAGCUCAGAGGCUGGGAGAAGGAGCUUCUGCUGUGCUAUCUACAGAGAAACAGCAAGUGGACACAACAAUAACAGUAAUAAUCUCAUUGAACCACAAAUCACAGAGUGGCUGAGGCUUGAAGGGACACAUGGAGGUCAUCUGAUCCAAUCCUUCCUGCUAAGCAGGCUGACUGGGAUCACAUCCAGAUGGCUUUUGAGAAUCUCCAGUGAUGGAGACUGCACAACCCCUCUGGGAAAACUGCCUGUGCUCAGUUAGUGUCAUACUAAAAAAGCUAUCAAACUUGGCUUCUGUGUACCGGGUCAGAACUUAACUGGAGCCAUCCUUGCAGCUGAUUUAGUCAGCAGUCCACUCUUCUGCUCUGCACAGAGUUCUCCAAGACCCUGAAUCUGCCAUUCUCUUCUUGGGAUAUUAUGGACUGCACCAGGCUGACAAGAUGGAUGGAUGUUUUCAGACUGGAAGAAAACUUUUAUGGGUUUUUUCCCCCUCUUCCAACAUUUUUUUGAAAAAAAUCCCUAAAAAUCAUGACCCAAAGCCUGGGUGGCACAGUGUGGCAGCAGCUCUCUGGCCACAGAGAGAAGCACAACUUUCCCAGGAAUUGUCCUGGGGAAGGCUGUGAGAAGAUCAGAGAAAAGAAUGAUAAGCAAUUCUUAUCUUAACUUGCUGCACCUGUUGUUGUGAACAUGUGGAAUGUGUUAUGGAGAUUUGUUGACCAAAGGGUGGUUUCUUAAUUAGCCAGUGGUGAUGGUGUUUGGACUGGAGGACCAAUUGGGUGCACCUGUAUUGUGAGUAUCUGUAAGGGAAUGGGUUUCUUAGUAAAUAAAGUGAUUGAUCAGCCUUCUGUGAA